UCAUUUUGUGUAGAAUUCAGUAUGCUCUGAGGUUGCUUAGAGGGCCCAAUCUAGUGAGCACAAUAGACAGGGCAACACCUGACUCAGUUUUUGAUCACACUGGGGCUUAGGUAUGAGACAGUGGUGCAAGUGCCCAAAGGCUGAAACAUAGGGGCCUCUAUGUUCCUUUGCCUGGUUUGUUCCUUUCUUUUGUUGCAAAGGGUCACUAACCUCAUUGAUUUAGGAAGAGGCCUGGACUAAAGAAAGCUACAGAAACAGAAGGCCAGAAUCACCCCAAACACCAGGGGGCUAUCAGAAGAGGAUUUAGAAAAACGUCAACUAAAGAUGAUAAAGGCAAAAUGAAAGCUUUAGACUAGUUAAGAUUGACAAUAUAGAUGUAGUCAGUGUAUUUGCUUUGUAGGAGAGGCCCUGUCUGCUCUGUUGACACUAAAUAGUCCAAUGACUUUUCAUAAGAGAUGAGGCUUGUCACAAGUCGUCUUCCAACUUGUGUGCUAGCUGACUUCCAACCUGAGGUUGGUUCAUUCAGUGGUGGUGCAGGAGUUGAGACUUAUUAGAAAAGGACAAGACAUCAACAAGAAAAUGGACAUUUUACAGUUUUUUCCACAGUCACUGAAAAAGAUACUUGAAAGAGCAUUUGCACAAAAACCUUAGAAGGAAACAAUCAUCACAAGGAACUGACUGCUCCUCUCCUGGCUCUCUGCUAGUGACUGUCUAAGGUCUUCCUCCAAAUGGCAACUGGAAACAGUCCAGAUGAACUGUGCUAUUCCCAUAGCAAGCAGCAAUUCCUAUCCCAUGUCUGUGAAGUAAUAAAAUGUGGAGAGACACACCACCAUCCCUCCCCCCACUAUUAGACACACUAAAAGGGGAAGGAGGUACUACCACCCCUUAUGUGCCAUCUCCACUGAAAUGAGCAAGGGGGAGGGGGAAUUCUAUCAGGAAGGGGAUAUAGUUAUGGGGAGGGGGGUGCACAUGCCAUACUGAGUCAAAAUUAGCAUAAGAGGUUUUCUCCCUCUCAUGGGGCUGUGACUAUCUUCCUUUUUGGAGGAAAGAUGGAUACAAUAGGGGGCUCUCUUCCCUAUGGGGUAACAGUUCACAUAGGUCCUUGCCCCUCCUCUAUGGAGCACCAGGGAGAUAUAUUGCGUGUGUGUUUAGGGGGUCUGUGCCCUCUCUAUG